AUUGAACUCUGGCGGCAGGCUUAACACAUGCAAGUCGAGCGGGGGAAGGUAGCUUGCUACCGGACCUAGCGUCGGACGGGUGAGUAAUGCUUAGGUAUCUGCCUACUAGUAGGGGACAAUAUCUCGAAAGGGUGGCUAAUACCGCAUAUGUCCUAUGGUAGAAAGCAGGAGAUCUUCGGACAUGGCUCUAAUCGCUGAACCUAAGUAUGAUUAGCUAGUUGGUGGGGUAAAGGCCUACCAAGGCGACGAUCUGUAGCGGGUCUGAGAGGAUUAUCCGCCACACUGGGAAUGAGACACGGCGCAGACUCCUACGGGAGGCAGCAGUGGGGAAUAUUGGACAAUGGGGGGAACCCUGAUCCAGCCAUGCCGCGUGUGUGAAGAAGGCCUUAUGGUUGUAAAGCACUUUAAGCGAGGAGGAGGCUACUCUAGUUAAUACCUAGGGAUAGUGGACGUUACUCGCAGAAUAAGCACCGGCUAACUCUGUGCCAGCCGCCGCUGUAA
rnacentral:rRNA from 1 species